rnacentral:rRNA from 1 species
UACGUAGGUGGCAAGCGUUGUCCGGAUUUACUGGGCGUAAAGAGCGCGCAGGCGGUCGUUCAAGUCGCGUGUGAAAGCCCCCGGCUCAACUGGGGAGGGUCACUCGAUACUGAUCGACUCGAAGGCAGAAGAGGGAAGCGGAAUUCCCGGUGUAGUGGUGAAAUGCGUAGAUAUCGGGAGGAACACCAGUGGCGAAGGCGGCUUUCUGGUCUGCUCUUGACGCUGAGGCGCGAAAGCUAGGGUAGCAAACGGG